AGAGUUGAUCAUGGCUCAGGAUGAACGCUAGCGACAGGCUAACACAUGCAAGUCGAGGGGCAUCACGGGAGUAGCAAUACAACUGGUGGCGACCGGCGCACGGGUGAGUAACGCGUAUGCAACCUACCUAUCAGAGGGGAAUAACCCGGCGAAAGUCGGACUAAUACCGCAUAAAACAGGGGCACCGCAUGGUGAUAUUUGUUAAAGAAAUUCGCUGAUAGAUGGGCAUGCGUUCCAUUAGGUAGUUGGUGAGGUAACGGCUCACCAAGCCGACGAUGGAUAGGGGAACUGAGAGGUUGGUCCCCCACACUGGUACUGAGACACGGACCAGACUCCUACGGGAGGCAGCAGUGAGGAACAUUGGUCAAUGGGCGGGAGCCUGAACCAGCCAAGUCGCGUGAAGGAAGAAGGAUCUAUGGUUCGUAAACUUCUUUUGCAGGGGAAUAAAGUGCAGGACGUGUCCUGUUUUGUAUGUACCCUGAGAAUAAGGAUCGGCUAACUCCGUGCCAGCCGCAGC
rnacentral:rRNA from 1 species